rnacentral:rRNA from 1 species
GACGAACGCUGGCGGCGUGCUUAACACAUGCAAGUCGAACGGAAAGGCCCUGCUUUUGUGGGGUGCUCGAGUGGCGAACGGGUGAGUAACACGUGAGUAACCUGCCCUUGACUUUGGGAUAACUUCAGGAAACUGGGGCUAAUACCGGAUAGGAGCUCCUGCUGCAUGGUGGGGGUUGGAAAGAUUCGGCGGUUGGGGAUGGACUCGCGGCUUAUCAGCUUGUUGGUGGGGUAAGGGCUUACCAAGGCUUUGACGGGUAGCCGGCCUUGGAGGGGGACCGGGCACAAUGGGCCUGAGGUACGGCCCAGACGGCUACGGGAGGCAGCGGGGGGGAAUAUGGCAGAGUGGGGGGAAGCCUGAGGCAGCGGCGCUGCGUGCGGGAUGACGGGCUUCGGGUGGUAAACCGCUUUCGCCUGUGACGAAGCGUGAGUGACGGUAAUGGGUAAGGAAGCACCGGCUAACUACGUG